AGCGAACGCUGGCGGCGUGCUUAACACAUGCAAGUCGAACGGAAAGGCACUGCUUGUGUGGUGUGCUCGAGUGGCGAACGGGGAAGUAACACGUGAGUAACCGGCCCUACACUUUGGGAUGACUUCAGGAAACGGGGGCUAAGACCAUAUAGGAUCUGCUGCUGCAGGGAGGGGGGUGGAAAGUUUCGGCGGUUGGGGCUGGACUCGCGGCUUAUGAGCUUGUUGGUUGGGUAGUGGUUUACCAAGGGUGUGACGGGUAGCCGGCCGGAGAGGGUGACCGGGCACAAUGGGACUGCGAUAGGGACCAGAGUCCUAUGGGAGGCAGCAGUGGGGAAUCUUGCACAAUGGGAGGACGUCUGAUGAAGCAACGUCGCGUGUGGGAUGACGGCCUGCGGGUUGUAAAACGCUUUCGGCUGUGACGCCGCGUGAGUGACGGUAAUGGGUAAAGAAGCACCGGCUAACUACGUG
rnacentral:rRNA from 1 species